rnacentral:rRNA from 1 species
UAGGGAAUCUUCGGCAAUGGACGGAAGUCUGACCGAGCAACGCCGCGUGAGUGAAGAAGGUUUUCGGAUCGUAAAGCUCUGUUGUAAGAGAAGAACGAGUGUGAGAGUGGAAAGUUCACACUGUGACGGUAUCUUACCAGAAAGGGACGGCUAACUACGUGCCAGCAGCCGCGGUAAUACGUAGGUCCCGAGCGUUGUCCGGAUUUAUCGGGCGUAAAGCGAGCGCAGGCGGUUAGAUAAGUCUGAAGUUAAAGGCUGUGGCUUAACCAUAGUACGCUUUGGAAACUGUUUAACUUGAGUGCAAGAGGGGAGAGUGGAAUUCCAUGUGUAGCGGUGAAAUGCGUAGAUAUAUGGAGGAACACCGGUGGCGAAAGCGGCUCUCUGGCUUGUAACUGACGCUGAGGCUCGAAAGCGUGGGGAGCAAACAGGAUUAGAUACCCUGGUAGUCCACGCCGUAAACGAUGAGUGCUAGGUGUUAGACCCUUUCCGGGGUUUAGUGCCGUAGCUAACGCAUUAAGCACUCCGCCUGGGGAGUACGACCGCAAGGNUG